rnacentral:ncRNA from 2 species
GGAAACGUAGUAUCACCUGGUCAUCACCGCGACGGGAGACAGGAAGCCGGUGCGAAUCCGGCACGGUCCCGCCACUGUGACCGGGGAGUGGAACCUUCGAGGACGCCACCGCGUACGUACGUACAGCGCGGGAAGGCAAGGGGGAACGUCGAUCCGGGAGUCAGGACACUGGCCUGUCGCGGGCCCAUUCC